AGGUCAGGUGGUCUGGUAUUCCCAUCUCUUUAAGAAUUUUCCAGUUUUUUGUGAUCCACACAGUCAAAGGCUUUGGCAUAGUCAAUAAAUCCUUUGUUAGUGACAGUAGCAGUCAAGUGCUGUGUGAAGAUGGGAUAAACCAGUGUGUAUGUGUGAAAAGCCACUUUCACUUACAGCUAGCAGUGAUUGUAAUGUUGGGAGAAGGAAAACCUGAAAGGGGGAAGGAAAGGGUUAGAAGGAGGGGAGCCCAGCAGGUGGGCUUUUCCCCCAGCCCCGCUAGGGCCUGACUCAUCCCAGGGCACUGGGUGUGCGUGGAUCUGUACUAAAUGAGUUUUGUGAAAUUGCAGGGGAACAGCUCUUUCUGUGAGCAUCAGUUUGGCUGAUCCCAGGCGAUGGUUCUUGGUCUGGGGGCUUGGGGUGGGGAAUGCUGUGGAAAUGUGCAGUUGUUGUCUUUGAGGGAAUCCGCAGUGGGGUUUCAGUUGGCUGGUAGCCCCUGACGCUGUUACUGAACUUCACGUGGGUCCCUUCCUCUGGUUCCAGUAAAGCCUACCUGUGACUCCUGGCUGUGGUGAAGGACAGGGCAGCCUUUACUGCAAGGCCAAGCAAAGAAAGGUUUUUGAAGACAGGUUGGGGUGUGAGGAACCGGUAAAGCUCCUGCACAUUCUUCUGAUUGGUUGGUGGUGAGGUAAUCAGGAGUUAACAGCAUCAACCUGGUUCCAACGUGUUUGAGGUCAACUUACUUGUGCUCAGUCAGCAGUUAACUUCUUACAUCUGAUGGGGGUUUCAGUAUCUGCAAAACAGCUCAAGGAUGGCUCAGACUAUUAUCUACAGCCCUUAAGGAGGAACUAAAGGGUUUUUUCUUGCUUUUUAACUGAGAGCACGUCCUCUGCCUCUGUGACUUCAGGUGAAACAGGACCUGUUGAAGGGCUGUUGUUACGAGGGUGCGUUCCUGUACAGACCGUGCGAGUCUGAUGCCUUUGUGGGGAGAGCUGGCUCUGACCUGGACAGGCGUUGUGCGUUUGCUCAGCUGCCCGCGCACGAGUCCUGCCGCCAGUCUCCAGGUUCCAGUGGGAAUCACUGCACGUGUGCAUGGAUUUCUGAUGCAUUCUUGGGGAAGAACUCUGUGCAGAGGCUGCAGCGGGCACCGGGACCUACAACUAGCGGUAGAAACGUGAGACCCAGCGGGCAGGGUGCAUACGUGGCUUCGGAACAAAACAAGGGCCACUUACUCAAGAACUUUGGAUAACAUGGAAGAAAGAGUGGUCUGCAAGGGACGACAGACCCUCCUGUGAGGAGUUCACCUCUCUCCUCAGACUGUGAGACAGUACCUCUCCGAUCCCACCAGCCUGCUCGGGGGCACCAGGUACCACCUCACUUGCAUGCUUAUCUUCUUCCUGGAGAACCAUUCCAUUUCUGAAGAGCUUGUGAGAGAAACUGUUCACCACAGCACACCUAAAGUUUUCUAGUAUGUUUUUGAAAAUGACAAAAUGAAUAUAGCAUAUAUCGUCAUGGUUUUAUUUUAAGCAAAAAGUAAGUUCUCUUUUUACCAAGAAAUGUGAUGCUUAAACCAGAGAACACUGCGGGGUAUGGAAUAUGCAAAGAUUGCAACUUACCCCAGAAUUCUUGCAUUUGGUCAGGUGUUGCCAUCUUGUGUUUAGUGCAGGAUUAACUAAAUAUUCUGCUUAAAACGUCCUCCUUAUAUGUGCUAUGGAUGUGUUUAAAACAAGAUAAGGACAUAAUUUCAACUUGAAGAUUAGAAAGAAGUGUUUUU